rnacentral:rRNA from 1 species
UACGUAGGGGGCAAGCGUUGUCCGGAAUCAUUGGGCGUAAAGCGCGUGUAGGCGGCUCGAUAAGUCUGCUGUGAAAGUCCAGGGCUCAACCCUGGGAUGCCGGUGGAAACUGUCGGGCUAGAGUCCGGAAGAGGCGAGUGGAAUUCCUGGUGUAGCGGUGAAAUGCGCAGAUAUCAGGAGGAACACCGAUGGCGAAGGCAGGUCUCUGGGCAUUAACUGACGCUGAGGAGCGAAAGCAUGGGGAGCGAACAGG